GUCCACGCCGUAAACGAUGGAUACUAGCUGUUGGGGGCAACUUCAGUGGCUAAGCGAAAAGUGAUAAGUAUCCCCACCUGGGGGAGUACGUUCGCAAUAAUGAAACUCAAAGGAAUUGACGGGGGCCCGCACAAGCGGUGGAGCAUGUGGUUUAAUUCGAUGAUACGCGAGGAACCUUACCAAGGCUUAAAUGUAGAUUGACCGGUUUGGAAACAGAUCUUUCGCAAGACAAUUUACAAGGUGCUGCAUGGUUGUCGU
rnacentral:rRNA from 1 species